rnacentral:rRNA from 1 species
UACGUAGGGUGCGAGCGUUGUCCGGAAUUACUGGGCGUAAAGGGCUCGUAGGCGGCCAACUAAGUCAUACGUGAAAUCCCUCAGCUUAACUGGGGAACUGCGUGUGAUACUGGAUGGCUUGGAUUUGGGAGAGGGUCGUGGAAUUCCCGGUGUAGCGGUGAAAUGCGUAGAGAUCGGGAGGAACACCAGAGGCGAAGGCGGCGACCUGGACAGGUACUGACACUCAACUACGAAAGCGUGGGGAGCAAACAGG